rnacentral:rRNA from 1 species
GCCAAAUUUCUAGCCCCCCCCCCCCAAAAAAAUAUAAACCCUCUUAACUUCUGCUCUUAAACUAAAACAUUCUUAAAAUUUAGUACAGGCGAUAAAAAAAUAACUCGGCGCAAUAAAAAUAGUACCGUAAGGGAAAGAUGAAAUAACAAUGAAAUAAAUUUUAAGCACAAAAAAGUAGAGCUGCCCCCUCGUACCUUUUGCAUCAUGGUCUAACUAGUCUAAUUAGGCAAAACGAUUUUUAGUCUAACCUCCCGAAACUAGGCGAGCUACCUUAAGACAGCUUUAUGAGCCAACCCAUCCCUGUUGCAAAAUGGUGGGAAGAUCUUAAGAUAGUGAUGAUAUAUCUAACGAGCCUGGUGAUAGCUGGUUACUUUUGAAAAGGAUUUUAGUCCAACUUAAAGACUUUUUAUACCAAGAAAUCAAACUUUAAAGUAAUUCAAAUAAGGUUCAGCCUAUUUGAAAAAGGAUACAACCUCUACCAUUGGGUUAUCACGCUUCUACAUGAUUAAGUAGGCCUAAAAGCAGCCACCUUAAACAAAAGCGUCAAAGCUUUAUCAUACCUCAGCACAAUUCCCUAAUUCUCACCUAACCCCUCACCACUAAAAAGUAACUCUAUACCUCUAUAGAAGCUUUUAUGUUAGAACUAGUAACAAGAAGUUAGCCCUUCUCUUAAAUGUAACCUUACAUCAAUUAGGACAUCCCAUUGAUAAUUAACGCCUGUAACCCUACUGUAGCAACUCUUCAAGAAAACCCUACUCCAUCUCACGUUAACCUAACACAAGAACAUUUCAAGAAAGAUUAAAAAGAAAAGAAGGAACUCGGCAAACAUUAGCUUCGCCUGUUUACCAAAAACAUCGCCUCUUGAUCCCCCAUAAGAGGUCCAGCCUGCCCAGUGACAUUGUUCAACGGCCGCGGUAUCCUAACCGUGCGAAGGUAGCGUAAUCACUUGUCCUUUAAAUGAGGACUAGUAUGAACGGCCCCACGAAAGCUAUACUGUCUCCUUUUCUUAAUCAGUUAAACUAAUCUUCCCGUGAAGAAGCGGGAAUUAACUUAUAAGACGAGAAGACCCUAUGGAGCUUUAAACAAUCGAAACAUUUGUAUUUAAAAUACUUUUCUUCCGAGACUGUACAUCCAACCCACCAUUUUGUUUCUUGUUUUAGGUUGGGGUGACCACGGAGAAAAAAUCAACCUCCUUGCUGAAAUUGAAACUUCUUUAAGCAAAAAACCACAUUUUUAUGCAUCAACAAAUUGACUCCCAUUGACCCAAUUAAUUGACCAACGAACCAAGUUACCCUAGGGAUAACAGCGCAAUCCAUUUCAAGAGCUCUUAUCGACAAAUGGGUUUACGACCUCGAUGUUGGAUCAGGGCAUCCCAGUGGUGCAGCCGCUACUAAUGGUUCGUUUGUUCAACGAUUAAAGCCCUACGUGAUCUGAGUUCAGACCGGAGCAAUCCAGGUCAGUUUCUAUCUAUAAAGAGUUUUUUCUAGUACGAAAGGACCAAAAAAACAUGGCCAAUGCUCCCUGUAAGCCAUCUACUCUAAAUUUAUGCCUUAGACUUAAUUUUCACGAACCUCCCAUUUAUUUUAAGAUAAAAAUU